rfam:Selaginella moellendorffii unplaced genomic scaffold SELMOscaffold_60, whole genome shotgun sequence.
GGGGAUGUAGCUCAAUUGGAAGAGUAUCUACGUUGCAAGUAGGGGGUAGGAGGAUCGAUACCUCCCAUCUCCA